CACACUUGUGUGUGUGUGUGUGUGUGUGUGUGUGUACAUAAAUGUGUAUGUAUAUAUAUAUAUAUACAUAUACACACACAGACAUAC
rnacentral:miRNA from 1 species